CCUUAGUCCCUUGUAAUAAGGUAGCUAUGGUGGCUGGGCCACCACAACAGGCAUUUUUAUUUCUGUUCCAUCUCUUUAGGACCCUCCCCUGAGAGCACACUAUUAAAGGCUCAAGAAGGGAGAAGCCUAGAGACCUGUCCUCUGAACAAAGCCAAGCACAGUCAGGCUCAGCAGAGAGGUGAAUGGAAGAGGCCAGGAACCAGACUGGGGAAGAAUAAAAGAAAAGCUUCCAUUCACAGAAGUGUUUGAUUCUUCCUGUCCAUAUGUUUAGAUUCUGCUUCUUUCCCUAAUCCAGAGCUGAAUAUCUCAAAGAUGCUGGCAGAGCCCUGCACACUGGCUGCUGAUUACUAGGCAUUCAGGAAACCUCCACUGAGCUGAAAUGCACUGAAUUCAACCAAGACACAGAUGUCCAGAGCGUCGCUAAAAAUCUUCCCUUGGCCACAGUCUUGCCAAAGCAGGUGGACCAUGGAGAGAGCUCAUAACUGUGACCUGUGCUUAUCAAGGAGUUCAUGAAACCUAAAAGGCAGUGGUUGUAAGGGUGAACAUAUAUAAAGAUAUUUAGGCAAAUGUUUCUGGGUUCAACGGAAGGGUGAGGAGACAUAAAUGCCUAAAUUUAGGGCGCACUGUAAACAAAGUGGUAGUGGUAAAUGAGAAUACUGUCAACUGGAACCACGGUAACA